GAGAGCACAGUACGAUGAAAGUUGUAAGCUGUGUUUGGGGGAGAGUUGUUGUCUAUCAUUGGCCUCCAUGGUAGAAUCAGCCAGGGGUCCAGAGAGGCAAUGGUUUACCCCGU
rnacentral:ncRNA from 1 species